UACGAAGGGGGCUAGCGUUGUUCGGAUUUACUGGGCGUAAAGCGCGCGUAGGCGGGUCACUAAGUCAGGGGUGAAAUCCCGAGGCUUAACCUCGGAACUGCCUUUGAUACUGGUGACCUGGAGAUCGGGAGAGGUUGGUGGAAUUCCGAGUGUAGAGGUGAAAUUCGUAGAUAUUCGGAGGAACACCAGAAGCGAAGGCGGCCAACUGGCCCGAUACUGACGCUGAGGCGCGAAAGCGUGGGAGCAAACAGGAUGAGAACCCGGUAG
rnacentral:rRNA from 1 species